UACGUAGGGUCCAAGCGUUGUCCGGAUUUAUUGGGCGUAAAGAGCUCGUAGGCGGCUCAGUAAGUCGGAUGUGAAAACUCAGGGCUCAACCCGGAGACGCCAUCCGAUACUGCUGUGGCUGGAGUCUGGUAGGGGAACACGGAAUACCUGGUGUAGCGGUGAAAUGCGCAGAUAUCAGGUGGAACACCGAUGGCGAAGGCAGUGUUCUGGGCCAGUACUGACGCUGAGGAGCGAAAGCGUGGGGAGCAAACAGG
rnacentral:rRNA from 1 species